rnacentral:lncRNA from 1 species
GGUUCCGCUAUCCGCACACUGAAUGCUGUAGAGCCUCCGGUAAUUGUUUGAGUCGCAGAGGGCUCUGCAUACGGCUCCCGUGCACAAACCCGGCGUAGGAAACAAGUCGUCACAGAAGCCCGGAGGGUUCUGCAUCACCCCACCUGCACCGACCAUCACCGAAUGCAUAAUAAGCGCGCUGAUUUUUCACGCAAAUGACAUAUUGAAAAGCGAUAACAUGAAUUAAAAAAGUACCUGGGAGAGAGACGAGCAUAACAAGCGUGGCUAAAAAUGCAGCGAGGAUUGUAGGCCUCAUGGUUUUCUCUCAAAAGC